CAUCAUUCAGAUUCAUUUUCAGGAUGGUGGGCUCUUUCGAACCUGGUUUGUGCAUAUGCUUGCUGAAUCCUCAAAUAAUAAACUGAUCACUAGUUGGUACGGGUCGACCAUUAUCAAAAACGCCCCAAUGUAUAUAGUUAUCCACACCAAAAUCACAAUACUUCUUGUUUUUGAUGAGCAAUAUCAUGUGAACUUUUGCCGAUCAAAAAUACAAAAAAUCAUGUGAACUUCUAAAGAAAAGUGGGAUGAAUUGAAUAUCGUAUAGCUUCUUUUUGAAAGAGCAGGAUUGAUCGGUGAAUGACGUUGAAUGCAUUUGACGGCUAAACUUCCAAUUGGGGAUUCGUCACAUAAAUACUGAGAAUUGUAUUAUCUUAAUUAUAAAUCUAAGAUGUUACGCUGUAAAAAUAUAUGAAUCUUGUUUUUAGCACCAUGAUCUUGAUCUUGAGUACGAAUAUGGUGCCUUAAA